rnacentral:rRNA from 1 species
CCAGAGAUGGAUUGGUGCCUUCGGGAACUGUGAGACAGGUGCUGCAUGGCUGUCGUCAGCUUGUGUUGUGAAAUGUUGGGUUAAGUCCCGCAACGAGCGCAACCCUUAUCCUUUGUUGCCAGCGGUUCGGCCGGGAACUCAAAGGAGACUGCCAGUGAUAAACUGGAGGAAGGUGGGGAUGACGUCAAGUCAUCAUGGCCCUUACGACCAGGGCUACACACGUGCUACAAUGGCAUAUACAAAGAGAAGCGACC